CCCUUAGAUGUUCUGGGCCGCACGCGCGCUACACUGACGAACUCAACGAGUUUUUCCUUGACUGAAAAGUCUGGGUAAUCUUUUUAAAGUUCGUCGUGCUGGGGAUUGACAAUUGCAAUUUUUUGUCAUGAACGAGGAAUUCCUAGUAAGCGCGAGUCAUCAGCUCGCGUUGAUUACGUCCCUGCCCUUUGUACACACCGCCCGUCGCUCCUACCGAUCGGAUGAUCCGGUGAAGCCUUCGGACUGCCGCAUAGCAACUGGUUCGCCAGUAGCUUAGUGGUGGAAAGUUGAUUAAACCUUAUCAUCUAGAGGAAGGAAAAGUCGUAACA
rnacentral:rRNA from 1 species